GACGAACCGAGCGAACGUUGUUCGGAAUCACUGGGCUUAAAGGGCGCGUAGGCGGGUGCUCAAGUCCGUGGUGAAAUCCUCCGGCUCAACCGGAGAACUGCCUCGGAUACUGGGCGUCUCGAGUGUGGUAGGGGUAUGCGGAACUAUCGGUGGAGCGGUGAAAUGCGUUGAUAUCGAUAGGAACUCCGGUGGCGAAGGCGGCAUCCUGGACCAACACUGACACUGAGGAGCGAAAGCCAGGGGAGCAAACGGG
rnacentral:rRNA from 1 species